UACGUAGGGUGCAAGCGUUGUCCGGAAUUAUUGGGCGUAAAGAGCUCGUAGGCGGUCUGUUGCGUCGGCUGUGAAAACCCGGGGCUCAACUCCGGGCCUGCAGCCGAUACGGGCAGACUAGAGUCCGGAAGAGGAGAGUGGAAUUCCUGGUGUAGCGGUGGAAUGCGCAGAUAUCAGGAGGAACAUCCGUGGCGAAGGCGGCUCUCUGGGACGGUACUGACGCUGAGACGCGAAAGCGUGGGGAGCGAACAGG
rnacentral:rRNA from 1 species